rnacentral:rRNA from 1 species
ACCGCGGAAGGAUCAUUG